GCUGCAUCUGUAAAAAUGUAACCGGAUCAUCCCGCCUCGACACGAAUUCGGUAACAUCAUUUGAAUCAUCGAUAUCAAGAACUUGAAACCCGUUUGUAUAACCUAGUAAUAGAACGUUCUUGAAAGAUGAUUCACUUGUGUGCAAUCUAUCAAAUGAAGACCACAACACCUGCUUCACCAAACACAAGGAUCACAACAAGUCAAACCUAUCUCGAUAAAAAAGACUCACACUUUUUCCUAAUCUGAUCAAAAUCACAUAAACCCAAUUGGAAAAUGAAUCAAAAACCCCCAAAUUCCAAAAUAGAGAAUCACGAAUUGGGGAAAAUCAAAAUUGAGGUCAAAACCUGAUCUUUAAGCUCGUGAGAA